CGGACGGGUGAGUAAUGCGUAAGCAACCUACCUUUUAGUGGGGGACAACCCCGGGAAACUGGGGCUAAUACCGCAUGUGGUGCUGCGACAUAAGUCGUAUCACUAAAGCCUUCGGGCGCUAAUUGAUGGGCUUGCGUUCGAUUAGCUUGUUGGUGGGGUAACGGCCUACCAAGGCGACGAUCGAUAGCUGGUCUGAGAGGAUGAUCAGCCACACGGGGACUGAGACACGGCCCCG
rnacentral:rRNA from 1 species